GUAAUGAUAAUUUGAGAGGCACUGUCAAAGGGAAGCAUGUGAAGAGCCCUUUAACUGAUUAUUAACUAAGAUUGUAAGCUGUGAAAAGCACAAAUUUGAAAACAAUGAAUAAAUAAUGGAGAAAUGUGCUUAAAUUAUGGAUUAUAAGUGUAUCAGUGAGUGAACACACCACCACCCACGCACCCACCACCAUGUAGUGGGAGCCCAGGGUUCGGUUGGUCAAGCAGUCUGCCCUUGUGGUCUGUGGGGAGAAGACUUGCGUGUCGUGCUGCUCUCAUCCUGCCGGUACCUUUGCUAUUAAGUCAUUGGUGUGGUAACUGUGACCUGCCCUGACCUGCCUGUGACCUGCCCUGACCUGCCUGUGACCUGCUAUUAACCUGCUUUUGACCUGCCUUGACUUGCUCUGACACACAUGGUGAACCGAGACCUUCCGAGACCUUCCAAGACCUUCCAAAAUCUGCCGUGACCCACAGAUGAAGAUAUAUAGAUUUAAGAAGUGCGAUGAUGCGAGACAGACAGACAGACAGACAGGUGUGGGAUGAGUGCUGGCAUACUGAAGGUCAAGAGGUCAAGAGGUCAAGAGUCACGUGUUGAGUCGUAUGGGUCACCAGACAGGUCACCCACCUAACCCCACUCGGCCUGUCAGUUCA